GGUCCCGGAAUACCACUCCCACUUUAUCGGAACUUACUGGGGAGCAGUCGGGACUGCCUUUUGCGGCGAGAUCGUGGAAUCAGCCGAUGCAUAUCUAUUUGCAGGCCCGAUCUUCAAUGACUACAGCUCGGUCGGCUACUCCCUCCUUUUGAAAAAAGAGAAAGCCAUCAUUGUGGAGCCUGAUCGUGUGAUGAUAGCCAAUGGCCCAACAUUUGGUUGUAUUUUAAUGAAGGAUUUUCUUAAAGAACUUGCAAAAAGAUUGAAGAAAAAUACAACAGCUUACGAGAAUUACCAUCGGAUCUAUGUGCCCGACGGCCAGCCAUUGAAAUGCAAGCCCCAUGAGCCGUUGAGAGUCAACAUUAUGUUUCAGCACAUACAGAAGAUGUUGUCAGAGGAGACAGCGGUGAUUGCCGAGACCGGAGACUCGUGGUUCAACUGCCAGAAGUUGAAG
rnacentral:lncRNA from 1 species